AAAUAAUAUAGUUGAUUUAGCAAUCAUUUCAUUGUACAACACUGAAACAAAUAUAAGAUAACAUACUGCUAUAUCAGUGUUGUAACUGAUGCUUGCAAACCAUGGGAUACAAAAAUCAAAGUAACUUUUGCGUGCCUCUCAGGAAUCUGUCUAGGUCCUCAACUGUAAAGGCUAAUUCUGCCAGAUUUAUAAGAUUAGUUCACAUCUUCUCCAGUUCUUGAGGUGGAAGAAACAGAACUGAGAGUACUGCUUCUGGCAAACAGGGCAGAAUGUAGUGCAUGUCAUUGUGCCUAGUCAGUGUAAAGAACACACUCCGAAAAAGAAUGGCAAACACACAUUCGAAUAAUACAGCACAUUAAAUCUGAAAAGAAGGGGGGGCUUAGAGUGAAGUAAACGCCAUUCCAGGUCC
rnacentral:lncRNA from 1 species